ensembl:lncRNA
UCCGCUGCAUGCUAGCAGCUCCGUCUCCACUGCAUGCUAGCAGUUCCGUCCGUCUCCACUGCAUACUAGCUGCUCUGUCUCCGCUGCAUGCUAGCAGCUCCGUCCGUCUCCACUGCAUGCUAGCAGCUCCGUCCGUCUCCACUGCAUGCUAGCAGCUCUGUCCGUCUCCACUGCAUGCUAGCUGCUCCGUCCGUCUCCACUGCAUGCUAGCAGCUCCGUCCGUCUCCACUGCAUGCUAGCAGCUCCGUCCGUCUCCACUGCAUGCUAGCAGCUCCGUCUGUCUCCACUGCAUACUAGCAGCUCCGUCUCCACUGCAUGCUAGCUGCUCUGUCUCCACUGCAUGCUAGCUGCUCCAUCCGUCUCCACUGCAUGCUAGCAGGUCCGUCCGUCUCCACUGCAUGCUAGCAGCUCCGUCUCCACUGCAUGCUAGCAGUUCCGUCCGUCUCCACUGCAUACUAGCUGCUCUGUCUCCGCUGCAUGCUAGCAGCUCCGUCCGUCUCCACUGCAUGCUAGCUGUUCCGUCCGUCUCCACUGCAUGCUAGCAGCUCCGUCCGUCUCCACUGCAUGCUAGCAGCUCCGUCCGUCUCCACUGCAUGCUAGCAGCUCCGUCCGUCUCCACUGCAUGCUCGGAGCUCCGUCCAUCUCCACUGCAUACUAGCAGCUCCGUCUCCACUGCAUGCCAGCUGCUCUGUCUCCACUGCAUGCCAGCUGCUCCGUCCGUCUCCACUGCAUGCUAGCAGGUCCGUCCGUCUCCACUGCAUGCCAGCUGCUCUGUCUCCACUGCAUGCUAGCUGCUCCGUCCGUCUCCACUGCAUGCUAGCAGGUCCGUCCGUCUCCACUGCAUGCUAGCAGCUCCGUCUCCACUGCAUGCUAGCAGUUCCGUCCGUCUCCACUGCAUACUAGCUGCUCUGUCUCCGCUGCAUGCUAGCAGCUCCGUCCGUCUCCACUGCAUGCUAGCAGCUCCGUCCGUCUCCACUGCAUGCUAGCUGUUCCGUCCGUCUCCACUGCAUGCUAGCAGCUCCGUCCGUCUCCACUGCAUGCUAGCAGCUCCGUCCGUCUCCACUGCAUGCUAGCAGCUCCGUCCGUCUCCACUGCAUGCUAGCAGCUCCGUCCGUCUCCACUGCAUGCUAGCAGCUCCGUC